rnacentral:lncRNA from 1 species
GUAUUGUGCUCAUGAGAUUAGUAAUUGAAUUGUGUGCAUUGGAGUGCAUCUAUUUUAUUCAUUGCACAAAUAAUUAUAGUCAUUUGUAUAUAAUGCAUGAAUUGCAUAUCUUAAGUGAGUAUUGGUUUUCCAAUUGACAAUAAUUGUUACUAUGCUGUUAUGUUCUUGGAUUGACUUGUGAGUAGGUGGACCUAGAACUUUCAUUUACUGAGAUUGGACUCACCCCUCCAAAAUAUAGUCCAUAUUAGUUGGGUUUGGAGUUUAGGGAC